UACGUAGGGUGCGAGCGUUGUCCGGAAUUAUUGGGCGUAAAGGGCUCGUAGGCGGUCUGUUGCGUCGGGAGUGAAAACUCAGGGCUUAACCCUGAGCCUGCUUCCGAUACGGGCAGACUAGAGGUAUGCAGGGGAGAACGGAAUUCCCGGUGUAGCGGUGAAAUGCGCAGAUAUCGGGAGGAACACCGGUGGCGAAGGCGGUUCUCUGGGCCUGUGCUGACGCUGAGGAGCGAAAGCGUGGGGAGCGAACAGG
rnacentral:rRNA from 1 species